ensembl:lncRNA
CUGGACCUGAUUUUCUUGUUGGAGCAAAGGCAACAUGAUCUGAUGGGGGAAUCUGGAUUUUAUUUAUUGUUUUAAAUAUUCCACAUGGCAGUUUAUUGAACUUUACUGUGAGCUGCCUAGAGUCACCUUGAGGAGAUGGGUGGGAUGGAAGUUUAAUUAAUAAAUCAAUGAAAAGCUAUACGUCCUCUUGAGAAGUUUGUGAGGCUGAAGAGGUUGAAUGGAGAAGAAAGAGAUUUCUCCUCCUCACAGGACAAGACAUUCAUUCAUUCUGUGUCUUUUUCUCCAAUCCAGGGAGCAACCAGGCCGCUUAGCAGCCCCCUUGCAGUGGAGACUCCCAGCAUAAAGAGAGAGGAAUGAAGAGGGAUCAGCCUCCUCCUGAAUUAGGCCGGGGUCUUCGGGCCUUUCCUGCACGCUGGAACCAGGAUAGAUUUUGGGUCUUUCAUCACUGCUUUUAUUGCUGAAUCAGUAAACUUUUUCUAUCAUGAUUGAGGAGCAGAGGAGAAAAGGACGUAUUAUGUGUUAAGAUUUCAAAUUGGGUUUCGUAGAUAAUAGUUUGUUAUAGGUAGGUUGCAUAACAGCCUUAAUGGGCUUUUGCUGAUUAAUCUUAGUGGAUAGAGAUUAGAGGUUAAAGAUUAGAGGUUUUAGAGACGGGUUUAGAGAAAAUGGGGUGAGGGAUAGGAUGAAUAGUUCAUUGGUUUUACUUUAAGAAAGAUUGAUAAGUUGUUAAUUUUCAUUAUAUUUGUUGAGGAUAAAGGUAGAGGUUUCUUUUUCCUGUAUAUCUGUUUAAUGUAAUCUUUGAUGAAACUGUUACUAAAAGAAGAAAUGUGCAUUCUGAGAUUUUUGUCACUAAAAUAGUUAAUGCAUUCUUAAUUGAUUAUUGCACGGCUAUUUGACCAUAAAUUUGAUAACACAAAGUUUGACAAAUAAUGAAUAUGCUAAGUAUAUUAUUUGACACUGAUUUUUAUAUAGAUUGCCAUUUAUGAAUUGUCAUGAUUUAGACAAAUGGAACAUGAGAUCAAUUGCAGAGUCAGGUUGCUAUGUCCUUAACAAUGGCACAUAUAUUACAAAGUUUGUCAAAAUUGUUUGCUGAAAAUAAAUGGUUUUGAUUUCUUCUUACCUGACA